rnacentral:rRNA from 1 species
UACGUAUGGUGCAAGCGUUAUCCGGAUUUACUGGGUGUAAAGGGAGUGUAGGUGGCAUGGCAAGUCAGAAGUGAAAGCCCAGGGCUCAACCCUGGGACUGCUUUUGAAACUGCCGAGCUAGAGUGCAGGAGAGGUAAGUGGAAUUCCUAGUGUAGCGGUGAAAUGCGUAGAUAUUAGGAGGAACACCAGCGGCGAAGGCGGCUUACUGGACUGUAACUGACACUGAGGCUCGAAAGCGUGGGGAGCAAACAGG